UCCCUGUGAUGAGUAGCCAUGCUAAUAUUAAGACACCAGAUACAGGAUGUUGUUGAGAUAAAUUCUUCUCUUACAUUCACCUGAGGGGC
ensembl:snoRNA small nucleolar RNA, C/D box 9